GUAGGAUAGAUCAUGUUCAUAAUCCUAACACACCUCCCAUUUUAUUCUUUUAUUUAUACUACUUAUCACAUUCAAUUUCUCUUCUCUUCUCUUCUCUUCAUCCUAUUGUAAUUGUACCACUCUUUCUACAUUAUCUAGAUCUGUUCUGUUAAUCAAAAUUGGAUCGGACGUUAAACGAGGAUUCAAAAUUCGGACGGACAGGUAUCAUAAGCACAUAGCAUGUGGGACUUGUUUCUUAAAAUUGAAGCUUGUGCUCGUAAUUAAUUUUUAGGACCGAAGAGAGUAUAUCUUCAAAGGACGACUUGAUAUGGGGUGGCAGGAAAGUGAUGAUUAACCAGAAUGUCAUACUUAAUCAAAGUUGGUUUGCAUUGAAAUAUUUUUUCUGGCAUGAUGAAAAGUGCUAAAUUGUGCAUUGUACCUAUUACAUCUGCUAUAUAUGGCAGUUUAAAAAUUGAUGCUCUUUUAUAUAUAUAUAUAUUUAUUGGGUGUUGUUAA